rnacentral:lncRNA from 1 species
UACGUAAAACGUGCUUUUUUGUUUUUGAAUUCAACCUGGCCCAUGUGACGUACAGACCCGCCACAAAUACAAAGUUCCUCUACCACACGAACAGAGUUUCUUUUGUAUUUGCACGGCGUACCCAACAAUAACAACAACAUGAUCACAUGUCACACCCCAAGGUCCCUUUUUGAUUGGAAGUGCCCAAUUUUCUUUUUUUUAAACCUUGACCCCAGAGGAUGUUUGAUCCGCCACAAAUACAGAGAAUUUCACUGUUCACAUGGACAGAGUCUCUCCUGUAUUUGCAGGGCGUCGCAUAAGUACAAGAUACAACCACGAAUAUAUGAAUAUCUACGUACAUUCACCAUUCACAUUCACAUUCGUUUCAUCAUAGAUAUACAUAACUUCACAUCUAUUAGUUUCAAAUGUUUCCCACUAAGAAACUCAUUUUGAAACAUUAAGAAUCAUGGAAAACUAAGAAAAAUCUUUUUAAAACCGUUUCCCACACGGAAACCUUUUUCUUUAAAAAUACGCUACCAUGAGGGGUAGAAAAUUAUUUUUAUAAUCUCAUAUGAAAACCAUAAUUACUUUAUUAAUUUCACAAAGCUAUGUGAAUCCAAAUAAAGCAAAACCAACUGAACCAUAACAUGUUUAAAUCAUUUAUUUCGAGAAAGUAAGGUUAGAAACUAAACCAAGCCAACCCAGUCGGAAGCUCUAUCGACCGCUAAAUACUCGCCUCACGUACCAUCCCAACUCGGAUCGGCAAUGUCACUUGAAAUGGAGGUUGGACGUUAGAACAUGUACACAUGUCUUCCCUCCCAGUGGGUACCACAAGCCGACGAGGGUGAGGAGUACUCACCGACAGAAAGAGAUCAUCAUAGUCAUAGGUAGAUAUCACAAAUACAGUAGCUAAUAUGCUGGAAGGAAAGGUAACAGUAAUAGAACCUGUAACUACCGCUACUGUAAAAUAGAACAAAAUGCAUACAUGGAUAUCAUAACUACAGUAGCAAUGAUGCGUGGGUAAACAACAAUAGAUAGAAGUAUAACUAGCCGCUACUGUAAAACAGAACAAAGUGCAAGUAUACAUCAACCGGACGAUUAGUCCCCAAAAUACCUAAUCUGAAACCUGCCAUAUCGGUCCGCAGACCUUAAGCGUGUGCCACUGCGACUCUACCUGCAUAUAACCCAGCCUAGGCCGCUGGGUUCAUGGGUUGGCACGCCGAACCACUUUUUCAAAAAAGAACACCCUCUUACGGUGGAUCAGACUGCUGGUGUUCGUGAAAUGCGAACGAGUCUCGGGCGAUCAAUGCUGAUAUGCUCAAUAGCCAAUCGUCGGCAACUAGCCGACAAUCACCGGCCCUCGGGGCACACCGACCAAUAGGCCAUCGAACUAUAAGGAAUACAAGUACCGACCACUCAGGUCAACUAGGAUAGAACAACUCAACAUCCUUCCGAAGGUAUGCAAGUAUCGACCACUCAAUGUCAACUAACAUAUAUGCACAAGAAUCGACCAAUAGGUCACAAGAAUGUCACGUUAUGUAUUGGUAUAAUCCAGAACUAGCCGUCAGCCACUAGGCAACAAUCCUACACCUCAGGGUACACCGACCUUAUAGGUCAUCAAGUAGUCCAACCGACCAAGUAGGUCACAAUAACAGAUGCAGUAAACCGACUGAAUAGGUCACAGUACGAGAUACAAGAACCGACCAACUAGGUCAUGAUCUCACAUGAAAUCAUACACUCCUACUCAUGGUGCUAGACAUGAAAACAACCAAAUAGAGUGUAACAGGAAUAACAGGGGUGCUAGGCUCAACCCUAUAUAUAUAUAUAUGCAAAGUAAUAACAAGAGAACAAGGGUAAGAAGAUGUCAUCAAGAGUGCACCACUGUACUAACUUCGGGUCGAAGUACCUACUUGUACAAAUGCAGUGCUCAUCUCCCGACUGUAGAAGAGUGUCAAUCGGACCUACGAAGGGUCCACCGGGUUAGAUUUUAACCCACAAACAAGGAACACUAAACUCACAAUCCCACCUUUAAACCCACGGGAAUCGGCUUCCCAAAAUCGAUUACCAUAACACGCCGGGAAUCCCGAAAAUUGCACCGGGACUCCGCCGGGGCCAACAAAGUGUCCCGGGACUCACCGACUCGCGCCACGAGUCAUCCGUUGCCACACAACACCAUAAUUUGUGUGACUCGGCAGCAAACACAUCUCCUCACAUCGAAACAAUUAUCGCCAGAUAAUCGCUCCGAUCCGGGUUCCCGGAAGUGUCAAUUUCGACACCGGAACCCCCUGUCGCUCACCCAUCAUUUUCGAACCCUCGAAACGAUGCAGGUGACCAGCCAACAAGGCUCAGCGACAACAUGAUCUACCGUGAGGCACCGUUGGAAGAAUUCUGAACUGAAAUCGGGUUCCAUCGGCGGAUUUCACCAGAAAACGCACCGAAAAACAACAUCCGAUUUCCGAAAAGGUCUGGGGCCUUGGACAACUAGUCCAAAGGUCACUCGUUGCCCGCACACGCUGCCAACAGCAACAACAAAACCUAAAAUUGCAUAAAAGCCCCUGUGACUACAUAAAAUCGCAUCAUUUUAUGUGAUUUUCGGGAUUUUACGCCCCGACAGCGCAAACCAAGGACUUUGGAGUCUAUCCGAGACACCUGCUAAUAGGUCUCGAUGUGCCGGAGGCCGUGCUCACACAUUGGAGCAUGGCCGGCCACUGUGGCGAGCGCGGGAGCGACGCGAAGUUCAGCGAACCCUGCGCUGAACCUAAAACACUUCUAAUUCACUUAUCCGGGGCUUGUUGACCCUAAAUAAGGUGAGAACUAUGAUCUGCACUGACCAACGAUCACCAUGCUCACCUUUGGUGGCAUAGGAACAACCUCGGGUCACCGAAACAGUGACUUGAACAGGAAACAGUGCACAAACUAGCUUAAUCAAGCUUACCGGGCCAACGGGAGCUAGGGCACGGUUGGCGGCAGCCCGGCGGCGGGCGCACCGGCAUUGAUGCCCUAGCCGUACUGCCAUGGAGGAGUCUAGCUAGGGUCCGGUCAAUAGGGGGCUCCGGCGGCAGGGAAAUCGGCGGCAGCCGGGUGCGAUCGACCUAGGGGAGCCGGUGCUCACACCAGCCGGCGGCGGGGUGCAGCGGUGGCGGCGCUGGAGCAACUUGAGCCUGCACGGGCCUGUCUCGGGCUCAACUGGUCACAAUGGCCACAACGGAGGCCGGUGAGCUACGGGGUGACGACGAGGGGUUGCCGGAGGCUGGAGGAAGGCGGUGUUGCCGACCCUAGGCGGUGGUGGCGUGUGGGAUAGAGAUCGGCUCGACAUCGGUCCGAGCUGGAUCGAGACGGCCGCAAAGAGCUUUGGCAGCCGGCGAAGGGUUGCCGGAGGCCUAGGAGGGUGGCGCGGUCGGCCAAGGGUGGCGGCGGCGCGCGGCCCAUAAGCAAGCUUGGGCUCGGCCCGAGUAGACCUCAACUGGCCGCGGGUCGCCCAGGCGGCGACGGUGGCGGGUGCGAAUGGCGGGGGCCGGCGGGGACGCACGGGUGAUGAUGGGGGCCCGAGGUUGUGGAUUAUCCUGGGUGGUCCACGGCAGAGAGGAGGAGGUGGUUUGGUGGAGAGGAUGGCAAGGCUAGCUUUUCCGGUGGCCGGGGACGCUCGCCGGCGGCCAGGGUGCGCGCGGUAAGGGGCAGGGAGAGGUGGUGGAGUCUGCAGGGGGCGCAGCUGAGGGAGUGGAGGAAGCUUAGGGUUAGGGUUUGCAUGAAACCCUAACAUUGGCUUUUAUAUAGGUUGUCAAAAUACAAUUUAGUCCUUUCUAGCUGCAUAUUUCCAACUAAGUCCUUCACAACGCAUGUAUUUCGCGCGUACGCACCUCGACGUUCGAAAUCGUGCAAAACGGUACAUAAAAUAUUAGACUUUUCGCGAAUUUUUCAUUUUGCCAUUUUCGACCCCUCAGCGAACCUUAUGCAAAUCCCGAAGAUCCGUCUGUCGAAUUUUCGAUCGGAUUGUACCAGCGUGUUCAGCACGACCGGGGCAAUGAACUCACAAUUUCGUUUCAUCCGAUAUGAUCGCCGAUUUGCGACGAAACCCAUCCAUUCUCCAAUUUCUCCUAAAACCACACGUAUAUUUGUAAAUCCAUUAAACCCUCUUUUUCUCGAAAAUCGUGCAUCAAAACCCAAUUUCGUCAGUUCCAGUGGGUCCAGGAUAGUCGAACCGUCGAAAACGAGCUAUUAGAUCACUAUAAACGGAGUCCAAUAUGAACCAGAAGCUAUCUCCACUAAUUAGACUCUCCGAAAAACCGGAGAUACUAUUCACUUUAAGUGAUUAGUACAGGUCGCGUAACUUUUCCAUCCUAACUCAUUUUCUCCUGAAACUUGACGAGUGCUUAUAUAAGUAAAUUACACACAAAAACAUCAUCAACAAGGAGUUUAGCUACACUGCCAAAUUCUCAGUCCUUACAUCACAACUCACAACCUACAUUCACCAAUCCACAAGCAAUUAAUACGAUGCAAUUCUUUACAGCUAGCGAUCUUUAAAGAUAAUGUAUGCCUCUAAACACUCCUUAGGCAUUGGAUCAUACGAUGCACAUUAAAAUAAUCAUCCUAUUUAAAAGUGCUCCCCACUCGGAAGGUUUGUUUUUAAACUCUAUUUGAUCAUCCAUGAAAACCAUUUGAAAACCUUUUAAAAUUGUUUCCUACUCAGAAACUCCAUUUUUGAAAACCGACUAUCUUGAGUGGUACAAAACCACAAUGCAUGAAUACAUAAAUCCAAAUACCAAAAAUUCAUAAAACUCCAAUUGCAUGCAUAAUAGAAAGCAUCAACUCAUAUAAGUUCACGAUUAUUCAAGCAAGAACAAUGAUCAUCUAACUGAACCAUUUUAUUAUUUAAACUACUAAAUAUGGAAAGGAAAAUAACCGAGGUGACGACUGCUACUACAGCAUAGCUAUGACGUCCUCCCGUCGCGCCAAAAACCAACUCCUUGCCCGUGCUACCUGGGGAAAUGGCGGGUGAGAAACCACAACAAAGCUUCUCACUGGGUACGAUAGAGCCACGAAGGCAAAUCGUAUUCACUGAAAAACAAAGGAGAUGGAACAACAGAUAUGUAUAUGAUAUGAUACAAGAGCAACUAUGGUAGUAGAAGAAACAGGAUAGUAAAUUAGCAAGAACCAAACUACUACUGUAACAAAAACUCAACUGAACAGAUGCCUCAGGGGUAAAUAUUCUAAGUCAAACCCAAUCUGGUGUCUGCCAUAUUGGUCAGUAGACCUCAAGUGUUGCUUGUCACAGUGCAUACACUGACCUAAUUCACGCAGCCACUGACGACCCAUCCGGAUAAGUAAACCCCUGGUCGGUGGCCAAACCGACCUGAUGUCUAGGAAUACACACAGUACUGUGACUAAAUCAUGCUGAUAUGCUCAAUGUGAAAGCUGGCAGAAAAUCGCUGCUUUGGCCAAAGACAGAUACGAGGGUGUACAACGUCGAACCAUGAUCAACCAGAUCGAAACACACGACAAAGGAGUUCAUGUGUUGCCUGGAUCCAAGGUCUACAGAUAUUCAAUAUAUGCAAGCCUACUCUACAUGUCUAAUAACAACUAUCAUCAUGCAAUUAUCAAGAUAUAGACGAACGAACGAUAAAAAAAAUGCAACCGACAUGUAGAGACUAAAGUACUGAUAUGCAAGUGCAAUAACAAGGGAGAGGAAAAUGAAACGAUCUCACCGACUAGCUACCAGCUCGAAGCGCUCACCUGUAUCAGUGUCGUGCCUGUCUCUAAACUGUAUACAAUCGUCAACUGGACCUACGGAGGAUCCACUGGGUCCAAGACAGUCGGACCGUUGAAAACGAGCUAUUGGAUCACCAUAAACGGAGUCCGAUACGCGCCAGAAGCCAUCUCUACUCAUUGGCCUCUCCGAAAAAUCUGACUUAUUAUUCACUUUAAGUGAAAAGUAAAGAUCGCGUAAAAUCUCUAUCCUAACUCAUUUUUUCCCACAACUUGACGAGUGUUUUUGUAAUUAAAAUACACAAAAAAAUAUCGUUAACAGAGAGUUUAGCUACACAGGCAAAUUCUCAGUCCUCACAUUAUUCCCCCUUAAGGAAUGUUUAGUCCACGAAACUUGCUCACAGGUAAGGGUGAUAUGAUGCUCAACGAGCCAAAACAACACAUGCAUCUCAAAGGCAAGAACAUGCGACGCAAGAAAUGAUGCAUUGGUAACGAAAAGCGUCCUAUUUACGACCUCAAACAAAAGUUAUACUUGCAACGACGUCAGCCGAUUGAUCUUCCUCCUAUCGCGUCAUCAUGUAGAUGCGUCCGCCAGUGACCUAGUGUGCCCCCUCCUCCUGCCGGGAUGUCGAGGGGCGUCCAGAUAAAGAAUACAUCGUGUUGCCACGAUGCUGUCAUGGAGCUGCUGGAGUAGACGCUACAGUAGAUGGUGUUCCUAGCCUGUUGGCACAGUCUGUCCGAAGGUUUCCAUGUUGGCCACACUUGUAACAGUGAUUGUGGCGCUUUGGGCACUCAUAAACCUUGUGAGCCUUGCCGCAAAUGACACAAGUUUUGGUACUCUGCCUCUGAGAUGUAGCGGGGACGCUGCUCAAUCCCGACUGCGUUUUCCUAUGUUUAGGUAGCCGCCCGUCGGUCGAUUGGCCACCACCAAAACUCUCUUGUGCACGCUUCUUAUCCUCGUUCUUCUCAGAUGCAUCCCAUUCGAUUCGUGCCUCUUCCAUGUCAUUCUAUACCAUCAGGGCUCGCUCCAGGCUCUCGUCGAACAUUAACACGCCAUGGGACGCGAUCAAAACCUGAAUAUUGGGCCUUAGUUCCCUCGCAAACAUUCGGGCCUUGCGGUACUAGUCACGGACCACGAACGGAAUUAGCCCAACAAUGCGAGAAAAGUCUCGCUCAUAUUCUGCCACGGUACGGUUGCCCUGUUUGAGACGCUCUAGCACGCACUCCAGACCUUGUUUGGUGCUAUCCUUGAAGUACUUGCUAGAGAGGAGUUCCCGAAACUCCUUCCAGGGUGGGUAGGUCUCAGCAAGCUUCUUCUUGAAGUAACGCAACCACCAACCGUACGCCUCAUCCUCCAGGCAAUGGGCAGCCAGAGGAACUUUAUCCUGCUCCUCCAUAUACAGAUUACAGAAAAACUUCUCUAUGUGGGCAACCCAGCGCUCGACUGCCCAACUAUCAUCGUUCCUUUUUGUAAACUUGGCGGAUCAAACUUCCGGAACUACGCCAACCUCGCCCUAAUGCCGGCGCCCUCCGUUGCAGGGGCGUCAGUACCCCCAGCGGAAACCGUCGUGGUGGCCAUCGUCGUCGUUGUGAUAGCUGGAGCUGCAACUGGUGCAGACAUCACAGGAGGGUUUGCGAUUACCAGAGUGCCUUGUGCCGGAGGUGGAACUGGGGCAGUAGCAGCUGCUGCAGCCUGCUUCUGUAAGAACUGCUGGAACAUGCCAGAGAGGGCCGUCAGCUGACCCCUCAAAUCAGCCACCUGGGCCUCGAGCUGCUGGGUGCAACUAUCACUCAGCGGCUCAAUGCCCACCUGUACCCUACCACUUCUACUCAUAGGAGCACGAUCUCUUGUACCACCGGAUGUCUUCGUACCCGCGUGUCCAUCACCGCAGCCUAGACGAGGGGGUCUACCACGAGCCAUCUGCAACAAAAAACACCGUCAAGCGAACGAAAGUCAACACAAGCAUCGAAGAAUACGCGAGGGCGUACUAAGGUGCUCAAAUUGUUUAAAAGGAUCAAACCUAUGAAGAUCAAAUUCAAUGAAUAUGGACAAUCUAUUGGAAAAUCAGCAGCCACCAUUAGCAAUUUUUUAGGGCUCAUAGCCAAAAAUGGACAAAUAACUUCUCUUAGUCAUAGAGAUUGGAGACUAGUUCCAAAAACAAAUAAAAACCUUAUGUAGAACAUCGUACAUGUAGAAUUACUAAUAUUUAUAUUCCCUUUGUAUUAUUUGAUAUUUGUCAAUAUAUAUCUAAUCUUUGAUGCAAAGAAAGUUCAAAAUUCCAGAAGAAGGUAAAAAGAUGGGUUAUGAUGUCCAUUGGAAAAAAAUGGAGAGUUCAAAUGUAUGUUGAAGAUCGAAAUUGCACUACGACCCUCAUACCACUUAUGCAGAAAGAAUAGCAGACCGUGAUUCACGGGUCUUACCAAAUGAAUGGGAAUUUCUUGUCAAGUAUUGGAAUUCUGACUCGGCAUUGGUAUAAGAAUUAAUUCUUAGAAACUUUGUGGUGCCUUUUAUAUAUAUGUUUUCAUUGAAUUCACUACAACAAAAUUAGGUUAUAGGGACACAUGUUUGGAACACUUUUGAGUAAGUGUCCUAUUUAUGCUAAAACUUAAAAAAAUAUCUACUAAUGUCUAAAUAUAAAGCCCAAUCUAACCAAAACUAAAACAUUACUCUACUCAACCCACCACACCCAGUCCAUUUGGCCCGAUUACAAACAGAAAAGAAAAAAAAAAAGAAAAAUCAAUUACCAUCUUUUCUUCUCUCUUCACUCAAUCUACUGAAAUUCUAGACGAAGAGCCUUUCCUGUCAUCCUCCUCCGCCACCGCAGCCAACGAGAUAAAGUUUUGGCGGUUGCUAAAUGCUUAAGUAAGUGUUAGUAAAUUAGCAGCACUCUUUUAGGUUAUAGCGACACUCUUUAACUGUCACUAUACCUAGCGACCCCACAUAUAGCAACACUUUUUAAAAGUGUCGGUAAUUUUAGCUAGCAGCACUUUUUUGACAUGUACCUAUAUUUAAAAGUGUCGUUAUAGACCGUUUUUGUUGUAGUGAUUUUAUCUAUACAAGUGAAAGCUGUAGUUUAGGAUAUACAUUUUCAUAUAUUUUAUAUUGAUAACUUGCUAGCUUGACUGUAUUGGAUUUAAGUUUUAUAUGUCUUUGACUCAUUAUAGGACCGUAGUGCAAAAAAUAAAGCUACUCGUAAGAAGCAAGAUAUCACGCAUACCGCAGGCACAAAGUGCUUUGCAAGGGUUCGUGCAGAGGUAUGAGAAUUUUCAUUCUCUUUCAAAUUUUGCAUAUAAAUUUGCUAUUAUAUUUUUCUAAACAAGCUAACUUUUCUACGUGUUACUAAAUGACAAAGGAGAGUAAAGUUGCACCUAAAAGACAUGAGUUAUAUAUAAGAACACAUACUAAAAAGAAUGGCGAAGCUCUAGAAAGCUGCGAAAGUAACAUUGUAUGUUUUUAACAUAUUAAAAUUUUAUCUAUUAUCUCAUAAUAGUAUUCUCUCAUUUAAUGUCUUUUUGUAGUUUGCAAUCCAAAAAUUUUCAUCUCAUCAUCCAAAAAUUGCACAAAAAAAUAUAUCUCGAGAUGAUCUUUUAGUGAUGGCUCUAGGAGAGAAAAAAUGCGGAAAUUAUGUUCGUUGCUGCAGGUUGGGUGCUGCUCCCUCAGAAGUCUUUGGCCCAAAUCCAACUCGAGCUGAAUGCUUAAGAAUGCUUUCCGAAACUAAAAGGAUAGCCGAAGAAGAGAAACAUGUAACGCAAAAAGAGAUUGUUGAAAUGAGGCAAGAAAUAUUGAUGAUGAGGGCAAGGUUGGAAACAAUGGAAAAAAGAUCACAAGACUUGAAUACGAUUGAAGAUAGAGACAUUCCAUCUAAUCCAAUAGGCACAUCUAAUCCAAUAGGCAGUGCGCAAGUAAACUCGAGUUGCAAAAAUAAUAUUCCCUCUGAAGAACCGCCAAGUAAUGAAAUACAAUCUUCUGAAUCGAGCUUUGAGGUUCCACGAAAUCAGGUAGUUCUAUUUUUAUUAAUUUAUCUUAAUAUUCUUGUAUAAAAUAUUAUAUGCAGUUAAGAUCAAUAUGGUUGUCCAACAUAUACAAUAUUUGAAUGUAGGGUUAUUGAGUAAAAGUUGUUGGAAAGGAAGUCCAUACUAUGUUAGAUAAUGGGGUUAUCUUCUAUUACUUAUUCUAAUUCUUUUUGUUACUUAUUUCUUAUUCAUACAAAUCUCAAUUUUUAUUUUUUUAGUUAUAUUUCAAUAUUAUUCCAAUAUACUUUUUAUGUCAUUAAUUACGUAUAUUAUUGUGAUAUGAUAUUUGCUAACUAAUGCAAAUUAGUCUUAACUUUUUAAAAAAUUAACUAUAUUUCUUUAUUUUUACUGAAUAUUAGGGUGGAGUUGAAGUAUAUUUAAAGAGUUUAAGAAAGCCUCACAAGUAUAUUGCACAAGGUUCUUUGUUUAGCACAAAUCCAAAUACUAAAAUAGAUGGUGCCGAGUUAAGAUCACAAUGCUGGGAGGUUCAAAUAAAUGUUCCAAUAGAGCCUAACGAGCCGUUAUUAAGAUCAUAUGGGAGUUUUCAAACAAUUAGAAACGCUGUAUCAUGCCCCGGGGUCUCUUUUUGAUUUAAAGACUUAUGCAGAAGUGCCGAUUUUUUUUUUUUUUUUGAAAACCUUGACCCCAGGGGAUGUUAGAUCCGCCACAAAUACAAGGUAUUCACUGUUUACACGGACAGAGUCUCCCCUGUAUUUGCAUGGUGUCGCACAAGUACAAGAUACAACCACAAGCAUUAACAUCCACAUACAAACACCAUUCACAUACAUCAUUCAUUUCAUCACAGAUAUUCGUAAACUCACAUCUAUUAGUUUAAAACGUUUCCUACCCGAAAACUCAUUUUGAAACACUAAGAGUCAUGAAACCAAGAAAAACCUUUUUAAAACCGUUUCCCACACGGAAACCUUUUCCUUUAAAACACGCUACCACGAGGGGUAGAAAACUAUUUUUAUCUCAUAAA